rnacentral:rRNA from 1 species
CUACGGGGUGCUGCAGUGGGGAAUAUUGCACAAUGGGCGCAAGCCUGAUGCAGCCAUGCCGCGUGUAUGAAGAAGGCCUUCGGGUUGUAAAGUACUUUCAGCGGGGAGGAAGGGAGUAAAGUUAAUACCUUUGCUCAUUGACGUUACCCGCAGAAGAAGCACCGGCAAACUCCGUGCCAGCAGCCGCGGUAAUAGCGGAGGGUGCAAGCGUUAAUCGGAAUUACUGGGCGUAGAGCGCACGCAGGCGGUUUGUUAAGUCAGAUGUGAAAUCCCCGGGCUCAACCUGGGAACUGCAUCUGAUACUGGCAAGCUUGAGUCUCGUAGAGGGGGGUAGAAUUCCAGGUGUAGCGGUGAAAUGCGUAGAGAUCUGGAGGAAUACCGGUGGCGAAGGCGGCCCCCUGGACGAAGACUGACGCUCAGGUGCGAAAGCGUGGGGAGCAAACAGGAUUAGAUACCCGAGUAGUC